GGUCCUUCGGGACUAGUGGCGGACGGGUGAGUAACGCGUGGGAACGUGCCCCUUGGUACGGAAUAGCCCCGGGAAACUGGGAGUAAUACCGUAUGUGGUCGAGAGACGAAAGAUUUAUCGCCAAGGGAUCGGCCCGCGUUGGAUUAGGUAGUUGGUGGGGUAAUGGCCUACCAAGCCGACGAUCCAUAGCUGGUUUGAGAGGAUGAUCAGCCACACUGGGACUGAGACACGGCCCAGACUCCUACGGGAGGCAGCAGUGGGGAAUCUUAGACAAUGGGGGAAACCCUGAUCUAGCCAUGCCGCGUGAUCGAUGAAGGCCUUAGGGUUGUAAAGAUCUUUCAGGUGGGAAGAUAAUGACUGUACCACCAGAAGAAGCCCCGGCUAACUCCGUGCCAGCAGCCGCGGUAAUACGGAGGGGGCUAGCGUUAUUCGGAAUUACUGGGCGUAAAGCGCACGUAGGCGGACCAGAAAGUCAGAGGUGAAAGCCCGGGGCUCAACCCCGG
rnacentral:rRNA from 1 species